rnacentral:tRNA from 1 species
GGCUACGUAGCUCAGGUGGCUAGAGCGGCGGAUUCAUAGCCCGCAGGUCAGUGGUUCGAGUCCACUCGUAGCCA